rnacentral:snRNA from 1 species
AUUCCGGUGCUCGGGCAUACGCGACAAGUGAGGCUCCAGCCGAUGUCGUGUUAUUGCUAGUUGAAAACUACUUAGUUUGACCGCUCCUUGUGGCCUUCGGGUCGCUUGGGAAUCUUUGGAACCAGACAAAAUG